AAUAUUGCACAAUGGGCGAAAGCCUGAUGGAGCAACGCCGCGUGAGUGAAGAAGGUUUUCGGAUCGUAAAACUCUGUUGUAAGGGAAGAACAAGUACAGUAGUAACUGGCUGUACCUUGACGGUACCUUAUUAGAAAGCAACGGCUAACUACGUACCAGCAGCCGCGGUAAAACGUAGGUGGCAAGCGUUGGCCGGAAUUAUUGGGCGUAAAGCGGGAGCAUGCGGUGCUUUAAGUCUGAUGUGGAAGCCCACGGCUCAACCGUUGAGGGUCAUUGGAAACUGGGGGAAUUGAGUGCAGAAGAGGAAAGUGGAAUUCCAAGUGUAGCGGUGAAAUGCGUAGAGAUUUGGAGGAACACCAGUGGCGAAGGCGACUUUCUGGUCUGUAACUGACGCUGAGGCGCGAAAGCGUGGGGAGCAAACAGG
rnacentral:rRNA from 1 species